rnacentral:rRNA from 1 species
CCGGAAGACCAAGGGUUCCUGUCCAACGUUAAUCGGGGCAGGGUGAGUCGACCCCUAAGGCGAGGCCGAAAGGCGUAGUCGAUGGGAAACGGGUUAAUAUUCCCGUACUUGGUGUUACUGCGAAGGGGGGACGGAGAAGGCUAUGUUGGCCGGGCGACGGUUGUCCCGGUUUAAGCGUGUAGGUGUGUGUUCCAGGUAAAUCCGGUUCACUUUAACACUGAGGCGUGACGACGAGGCACUACGGUGCUGAAGCAACAAAUGCCCUGCUUCCAGGAAAAGCCUCUAAGCAUCAGGUAACACGAAAUCGUACCCCAAACCGACACAGGUGGUCAGGUAGAGAAUACCAAGGCGCUUGAGAGAACUCGGGUGAAGGAACUAGGCAAAAUGGUGCCGUAACUUCGGGAGAAGGCACGCUGACACGUAGGUGAAGUGAUUUACUCAUGGAGCUGAAGUCAGUCGAAGAUACCAGCUGGCUGCAACUGUUUAUUAAAAACACAGCACUGUGCAAACACGAAAGUGGACGUAUACGGUGUGACGCCUGCCCGGUGCCGGAAGGUUAAUUGAUGGGGUCAGCGCAAGCGAAGCUCCUGAUCGAAGCCCCGGUAAACGGCGGCCGUAACUAUAACGGUCCUAAGGUAGCGAAAUUCCUUGUCGGGUAAGUUCCGACCUGCACGAAUGGCGUAAUGAUGGCCAGGCUGUCUCCACCCGAGACUCAGUGAAAUUGAACUCGCUGUGAAGAUGCAGUGUACCCGCGGCAAGACGGAAAGACCCCGUGAACCUUUACUAUAGCUUGACACUGAACAUUGAGCCUUGAUGUGUAGGAUAGGUGGGAGGCUUUGAAGUGUGGACGCCAGUCUGCAUGGAGCCGACCUUGAAAUACCACCCUUUAAUGUUUGAUGUUCUAACGUGGACCCGUAAUCCGGGUUGCGGACAGUGUCUGGUGGGUAGUUUGACUGGGGCGGUCUCCUCCUAAAGAGUAACGGAGGAGCACGAAGGUUGGCUAAUCCUGGUCGGACAUCAGGAGGUUAGUGCAAUGGCAUAAGCCAGCUUGACUGCGAGCGUGACGGCGCGAGCAGGUGCGAAAGCAGGUCAUAGUGAUCCGGUGGUUCUGAAUGGAAGGGCCAUCGCUCAACGGAUAAAAGGUACUCCGGGGAUAACAGGCUGAUACCGCCCAAGAGUUCAUAUCGACGGCGGUGUUUGGCACCUCGAUGUCGGCUCAUCACAUCCUGGGGCUGAAGUAGGUCCCAAGGGUAUGGCUGUUCGCCAUUUAAAGUGGUACGCGAGCUGGGUUUAGAACGUCGUGAGACAGUUCGGUCCCUAUCUGCCGUGGGCGCUGGAGAACUGAGGGGGGCUGCUCCUAGUACGAGAGGACCGGAGUGGACGCAUCACUGGUGUUCGGGUUGUCAUGCCAAUGGCACUGCCCGGUAGCUAAAUGCGGAAGAGAUAAGUGCUGAAAGCAUCUAAGCACGAAACUUGCCCCGAGAUGAGUUCUCCCUGAGACUU